rnacentral:rRNA from 1 species
UACGGGGGGGGGCAAGCGUUGUUCGGAAUUACUGGGCGUAAAGGGCGCGUAGGCGGCCUUCUAAGUCAGACGUGAAAUCCCCAGGCUUAACUUGGGAACUGCGUCUGAUACUGGGAGGCUUGAGUGCGGGAGAGGGAUGUGGAAUUCCAGGUGUAGCGGUGAAAUGCGUAGAUAUCUGGAGGAACACCGGUGGCGAAGGCGGCAUCCUGGACCGACACUGACGCUGAGGCGCGAAAGCCAGGGGAGCAAACGGG